rnacentral:rRNA from 1 species
GACGAACGCUGGCGGCGUGCUUAACACAUGCAAGUCGAACGGAAAGGCCCUGCUUUUGUGGGGUGCUCGAGUGGCGAACGGGUGAGUAACACGUGAGUAACAUGCCCUUGACUUUGGGAUAACUUUAGGGAACUGGGGCUAAUACCCGAUAGGAGCUCCUGCUGCACGGUGGGGGUUGGAAAGUUUCGGCGGUUGGGGCUGGUAUCGCUGCUUACCAGCUUGGUGGGGGAGUAGUGGCUUAACAAGUGUUUGACGGGUAGCCGGCCUGAGCGGGUGACCGGCCACAUUGGUACUGAGAGACGGCCCAGACUCCUACGGGAGGCAGCAGUGGGGAAUAUGGCACAAUGGGCGGAAGCCUGAUGCAGCAGCGCCGCGUGCGGAAUGACGGCCUUCGGGUGGUAAACCGCUUUCGCCGGUGACGAAGCGUGAGUGACGGUAAUGGGUAAAGAAGCACCGGCUAACUACGUG